rnacentral:rRNA from 1 species
GACGAACGCUGGCGGCGUGCUUAACACAUGCAAGUCGAACGGAAAGGCCCUGCUUUUGUGGGGUGCUCGAGUGGCGAACGGGUGAGUAACACGUGAGUAACCUGCCCUUGACUUUGGGAUAACUUCAGGAAACUGGGGCUAAUACCGGAUAGGAGCUCCUGCUGCAUGGUGGGGGUUGGAAAGUUUCGGCGGUUGGGGAUGGACUCGCGGCUUAUCAGCUUGUUGGUGGGGUAGUGGCUUACCAAGGCUUUGACGGGUAGCCGGCCUGAGAGGGUGACCGGCCACCAUGGGACUGAGGUACGGCCCAGACUCCUACGGGAGGCAACAGUGGGGAAUAUUGCACAAUGGGCGGAAGCCUGAUGCAGCAACGCCGCGUGCGGGAUGACGGCCUUCGGGUUGUAAACCGCUUUCGCCUGUGACGAAGCGUGAGUGACGGUAAUGGGUAAAGAAGCACCGGCUAACUACGUG